rnacentral:rRNA from 1 species
CCUACGGGAGGCAGCAGUAGGGAAUAUUGCUCAAUGGGGGAAACCCUGAAGCAGCAACGCCGCGUGGAGGAUGAAGGUUUUCGGAGUGGAAACUCUUUUUGUUAGAGAAGAUAAGGACGGGAUGUAACGAAUAAGCACCGGUUAACGCCGUGCCAGCAGCCGCGGUUAUACGGAGGGAGCAAGCGUUACACGGAAUCACUGGGCGUAAAGAGCGCGUAGGCGGGAUAGCAAGUCAGAUGUGAAAUCCUAUGGCUUAACCAUAGAACUGCCUUUGAAACUGUUAUUCUAGAGUAUGGGAGAGGUAGGUGGAAUUCUUGGUGUAGGGGUAAAAUCCGUAGAGAUCACGAGGAAUACUCAUUGCGAAGGCGACCUGCUAGAACAUAACUGACGCUGAUGCGCGAAAGCGUGGGGAGCAAACAGGAUUAGAUACCCUUGUAGUC